rnacentral:rRNA from 1 species
CUACGGUGCUGAAGCAACAAAUGCCCUGCUUCCAGGAAAAGCCUCUAAGCCUCAGGUAACAUCAGAUCGUACCCGAAACCGACACAGGUGGUCAGGUAGAGAAUACCAAGGCGCUUGAGAGAACCCGGGUGAAGGAACUAGGCAAAAUGGUGCCGUAACUUCGGGAGAAGGCACGCUGACACGUAGGUGAAGCGGUUUACCCGUGGAGCUGAAGUCAGUCGAAGAUACCAGCUGGCUGCAACUGUUUAUUAAAAACACAGCACUGUGCAAACACGAAAGUGGACGUAUACGGUGUGACGCCUGCCCGGUGCCGGAAGGUUAAUUGAUGGGGUCAGCGCAAGCGAAGCUCCUGAUCGAAGCCCCGGUAAACGGCGGCCGUAACUAUAACGGUCCUAAGGUAGCGAAAUUCCUUGUCGGGUAAGUUCCGACCUGCACGAAUGGCGUAAUGAUGGCCAGGCUGUCUCCACCCGGGACUCAGUGAAAUUGAACUCGCUGUGAAGAUGCAGUGUACCCGCGGCAAGACGGAAAGACCCCGUGAACCUUUACUAUAGCUUGACACUGAACACUGGUCCUUGAUGUGCAGGAUAGGUGGGAGGCUUUGAAGUGUGGACGCCAGUCUGCAUGGAGCCGUCCUUGAAAUACCACCCUUUAAUGGCUGGUGUUCUAACGUAGACCCGUGAACCGGGUUGCGGACAGUGUCUGGUGGGUAGUUUGACUGGGGCGGUCUCCUCCUAAAGCGUAACGGAGGAGCACGAAGGUUGGCUAAUCCUGGUCGGACAUCAGGAGGUUAGUGCAAUGGCAUAAGCCAGCUUGACUGCGAGCGUGACGGCGCGAGCAGGUGCGAAAGCAGGUCAUAGUGAUCCGGUGGUUCUGAAUGGAAGGGCCAUCGCUCAACGGAUAAAAGGUACUCCGGGGAUAACAGGCUGAUACCGCCCAAGAGUUCAUAUCGACGGCGGUGUUUGGCACCUCGAUGUCGGCUCAUCACAUCCUGGGGCUGAAGUAGGUCCCAAGGGUAUGGCUGUUCGCCAUUUAAAGUGGUACGCGAGCUGGGUUUAGAACGUCGUGAGACAGUUCGGUCCCUAUCUGCCGUGGGCGCUGGAGAACUGAGGGGGGCUGCUCCUAGUACGAGAGGACCGGAGUGGACGCAUCACUGGUGUUCGGGUUGUCAUGCCAAUGGCACUGCCCGGUAGCUAAAUGCGGAAGAGAUAAGUGCUGAAAGCAUCUAAGCACGAAACUUGCCCCG